CACUGCCGAGAAAAGCCUCUAGAUAGAAAAUAGGUGCCCGUACCGCAAACCGACACAGGUAGUCAAGAUGAGAAUUCUAAGGUGAGCGAGCGAACUCUCGUUAAGGAACUCGGCAAAAUGACCCCGUAACUUCGGGAGAAGGGGUGCUCUUUAGGGUUAACGCCCAGAAGAGCCGCAGUGAAUAGGCCCAAGCGACUGUUUAUCAAAAACACAGGUCUCUGCUAAACCGUAAGGUGAUGUAUAGGGGCUGACGCCUGCCCGGUGCUGGAAGGUUAAGAGGAGUGGUUAGCUUCUGCGAAGCUACGAAUCGAAGCCCCAGUAAACGGCGGCCGUAACUAUAACGGUCCUAAGGUAGCGAAAUUCCUUGUCGGGUAAGUUCCGACCCGCACGAAAGGCGUAACGAUUUGGGCACUGUCUCAACGAGAGACUCGGUGAAAUCAUAGUACCUGUGAAGAUGCAGGUUACCCGCGACAGGACGGAAAGACCCCGUGGAGCUUUACUGUAGCCUGAUAUUGAAAUUCGGCACAGCUUGUACAGGAUAGGUAGGAGCCUUUGAAACGUGAGCGCUAGCUUACGUGGAGGCGCUGGUGGGAUACUACCCUAGCUGUGUUGGCUUUCUAACCCGCACCACUUAUCGUGGUGGGAGACAGUGUCAGGCGGGCAGUUUGACUGGGGCGGUCGCCUCCUAAAAGGUAACGGAGGCGCUCAAAGGUUCCCUCAGAAUGGUUGGAAAUCAUUCAUAGAGUGUAAAGGCAUAAGGGAGCUUGACUGCGAGACCUACAAGUCGAGCAGGGUCGAAAGACGGACUUAGUGAUCCGGUGGUUCCGCAUGGAAGGGCCAUCGCUCAACGGAUAAAAGCUACCCCGGGGAUAACAGGCUUAUCUCCCCCAAGAGUUCACAUCGACGGGGAGGUUUGGCACCUCGAUGUCGGCUCAUCGCAUCCUGGGGCUGUAGUCGGUCCCAAGGGUUGGGCUGUUCGCCCAUUAAAGCGGUACGCGAGCUGGGUUCAGAACGUCGUGAGACAGUUCGGUCCCUAUCCGUCGUGGGCGUAGGAAAUUUGAGAGGAGCUGUCCUUAGUACGAGAGGACCGGGAUGGACAUACCUCUGGUGUACCAGUUGUCGUGCCAACGGCAUAGCUGGGUAGCUAUGUGUGGACGGGAUAAGUGCUGAAAGCAUCUAAGCAUGAAGCCCCCCUCAAGAUGAGAUUUCCCAACUUCGGUUAUAAGAUCCCUCAAA
rnacentral:rRNA from 1 species